GAGUCUUUCUGCUACAUAUAAAAUGUGCUUUGUACCACACCGAGUCCCCCUUUUCUUUUCAUUUUCCCUUUAAACCGAAAUAACCACUAGCUCAGUGCUGGGAUCAUCACAUGGAGUCACAAGAAUUUUGGGGAAAGGACAGGCUCCAAAUGUAAUCUGCCAUCGAGUCAGCAGUGAGAUAGCCAUCAAGAUACGAAUACAGGAAAAUGUGGCAGAAAUUUGAUGAUAACCAGUUUUAAAAAAAUAAAUAAAUUAUUCAGACCUCA